GAUGAACGCUGGCGGCGUGCUUAACACAUGCAAGUCGAACGAAGCACUUUAUUUGAUUUCCUUCGGGACUGAUUAUUUUGUGACUGAGUGGCGGACGGGUGAGUAACGCGUGGGUAACCUGCCUUGUACAGGGGGAUAACAGUUGGAAACGGCUGCUAAUACCGCAUAAGCGUACAGCAUCGCAUGAUGCAGUGUGAAAAACUCCGGUGGGAUAAGAUGGACCCGCGUUGGAUUAGCUAGUUGGUGAGGUAACGGCCCACCAAGGCGAGGAUCCAUAGCCGAGAUGGGAGGGUGACCGGCCACAUUGGGGCUGAGACACGGCCGAAACUCCUAGGGGAGGCAGCAAUGGGGAAUAUUGCACAAUGGGCGAAGGCCUGAUGCAGCGACGCCGCGAAAGCGAAGAAGUAUUUCAGUAUGUAAAGCUCUAUCAGCAGGGAAGAUAAUGACGGUACCUGACGAAGAAGCACCGGCUAAAUACGUG
rnacentral:rRNA from 1 species